GAUGAACGGCUGGCGGCGUGCCUAAUACAUGCAAGUCGAACGAGGUUAGAUUCGUCUAACCUAGUGGCGAACGGGUGAGUAACACGUAGGUAACCUGCCCUUCAGUUGGGAAUACCUAGAGGAAACUUUAGUUAAUACCGAAUAAUUACGAGGAAGGCAUCUUCCUUUUAUAAAAGUAGCAAUUGCUACGCUGAUGGAUGGACCUGCGGCGCAUUAGCUAGUUGGUAGGGUAACGGCCUACCAAGGCUCGGAUGCGUAGCCGACCUGACGAGGGUGAUCGGCCACAAUGGGACUGAGACACGGCCCAUACUCCUACGGGAGGCAGCAGUAGGGAGUUUUCGGCAAUGGGGGAACCCUGACCGAGCAACGCCGCGUGAACGAUGAAGGUCUUCGGAUCGUAAAGUUCUGUUGUAGCUAGGGAAAGCACGGGAGAGUGGAAAGCUCUCGUUUUGACCCAACUACCAGAAAGCCACGGCUAACUACGUG
rnacentral:rRNA from 1 species